rnacentral:rRNA from 1 species
GAUGAACGCUGGCGGCGUGCCUAAUACAUGCAAGUCGAGCGAACGGACGAGAAGCUUGCUUCUCUGAUGUUAGCGGCGGACGGGUGAGUAACACGUGGAUAACCUACCUAUAAGACUGGGAUAACUUCGGGAAACCGGAGCUAAUACCGGUUGAUAUUUUGAACCGCAUGGUUCAAAAGUGAAAGACGGUCUUGCUGUCACUUAUAGAUGGAUCCGCGCUGCAUUAGCUAGUUGGUAAGGUAACGGCUUACCAAGGCAACGAUGCAUAGCCGACCUGAGAGGGUGAUCGGCCACACUGGAACUGAGACACGGUCCAGACUCCUACGGGAGGCAGCAGUAGGGAAUCUUCCGCAAUGGGCGAAAGCCUGACGGAGCAACGCCGCGUGAGUGAUGAAGGUCUUCGGAUCGUAAAACUCUGUUAUUAGGGAAGAACAUAUGUGUAAGUAACUGUGCACAUCUUGACGGUACCUAAUCAGAAAGCCACGGCUAACUACGUG